UACACACACAUAUAUAUGUAUACAUGUAUACACACAUAUAUAUACAUAUACACAUAUGUAUGUGUGUAUAUAUGGAUAUGUUCAUGUGUAUUAUG
rnacentral:miRNA from 1 species